AAGGGGACUGUUCGGGGAAGAGGCGGGGACAUCUUUUCUUUGGAAGAGCUAUGGGGGUCGCUUGCUGAGAGAUAGAUGGAGUGCUGCAGUCUCCAUUGGGAAGAUCUAAGUGGGAUCUUUGUCUUAGGAAGAGCUUGGUCACUGAGAUGUCACUGAAGCCACCGAGCGAGGGAACAGAAACUAAAGAAGCCGCAAGUGCUGGCCUGCUUCCGUCCAUCAGCCAUGACGAUUCCUUCCGGGGAUUCCAAGUACAGUCAGAGCGUCUCUGGGAGGUAAUCAACACACCAUUCGCGAUCCAUCCGCGUUUCAUCAAAAAUGCAGAACCGCUGUGUGUGACAGAGAACGAGCUCCAACCUUGAUCCUGCAUGUCGCAGACAUUCCUUGACGUGGGGCUGCCCUUGCACCUGGCUCAAGACUCUGGGAGACUGAUAAAGGAGAUCUGGCGGAAGCCUGAGGGCUCUGGUCUCCAUGCUGCCUCACCAUCCCCAGCCCAGCCCAUCGUCGGCAGCCAUGUUGCUCCUACAUCUGUUCCUGCAUGCUGUAGUAGGUGGUGUCUGCACAUCUGGCUGACUUUCACUGAAGAUUGAGAGGUCGCAGAAGGGAAGUGUGGUUCUGUCGAAGCCAGCGCAAGAACACGCCAGCAAGUCUGUGCCAGACACGUUUCUAACAGGUCAUGGUCAAAAAGUUACAAGUGUCAAAACUCUCAGACAAAUCUACCAGUGACGCCGUGACCGCAGGCCUCUAUUGAAAUUCCUCUUUGCAAGUCAAGAGGAAUCUACUUAAGAUGAUCUUGGGACUUGCUGUGUUCCAGGAAAAGAAAGAGAAGAAUAAAGGGUGUGACUUCCCUGAAGUCAUGUAGUGAGUUUGUGACACAACUGGACAGCACUGGGGUCUUCAGAAACCCCUUUCCACUGAAGGAAAUGGCACGCUUCAAAAGUCUAAGCUCAAGAGGACCUCUGGCCCAAUUCCAGAUGAAAAUCAAGAUGUGGCCACCCUGUGGAGAAGCCAGGUCCCCUGCUCCUGCUCCCCCUGACUCUCUCUCUUGCUGGUGGUUCUGUAGUUUGGAGCAAUGCACAGUGGGUCAAAGUCCCAGGCAACUCUGAGCUGAGCAUCACCAAAGAGAAGUGGAAAACUGGAGCUGGUUGCCAUGGAGACCAGCCACCGACUUCAGAGUGCCUGUUUAUUAAAGAUGAAAGUAAUGUAUGCCUGGCUGAUCUGAGCAGCUGUCAGAGAUUCGACUGUUAGCAGAGGAAGUCACUAAUUUCGAGGCAUAAUCACCCAUCUAAGAGAGAGGCGGCCCCCCUUCAUCUUCCGAGUGGAGCUGGGCCCUGUGGGUAAGGUCUGCCCCAGCGGGCGUUUCUUGUCCUUUUCUUCCUUCCUUCCUUGUUCUAUUUCUUUCUUUCUUCCUCGUUUAUUUUAGGACUAAUAUGGUAAUGGUACUUCUUUUCUCCCUUAUUUCCUACUCAAAAUAUAUAGUCUUGCAGUCAUGUGAUAGACGAAUUCAGCUUCGUGGGCGGGCCCAGGAAACCCAAACCCUCUCAUGACGUUGUUUCCUUUGGAAAGUGUAUUCUGGAUUCCAAGCCACCUACUUACAAAUAAGGCUGUCUGUUUGUUCAUUCAACAGUCUCCGCCAGGUGUGCAAGAGCAGAAGAGGUGGGGGUGAGCCCCGCGGAGAGCAGCCUUGAUGGACAUCGCGAGCCCUUCGACAGGAAUGGAGCACAAGCAGGGAAGAGCAGAAGAGAGAAAUGGAGAAGCAGACUCCUGCUGAGCAGGGAGCCAGACAUGGGCUUGAUCCCAGGAUCCUGGGAUCAUGACCUGAGCCGAAGAUAGAUGCACCCCUCAUCAGUGCCUUUAGAACACAGUGCACCCAGAACCCAGAUUAGCCUGGGCUCCAGCAAGGCAGCUUCCGGGCAGGCAGGCCUCAGAACUGCCAGCAGCAGUCCCCUGGAAGCUAUUACUUCUCUCACCUGCUCCAUACCUCAAGUAGGCAAAACAGCUGUCUCAUGUCACUGUGAUGCUUCCUCCUUUCCCUGCAUUCAUCCUGAAAGCAUUUUUUCUAAAGGACAUGCACAGUCUUAGGUUUGCAUGUUUUACUGAAGGAAAUUUGAAUCCCAUUUAUGGGAUGUCAACAUAGGUCAUAACUUAACCCUUUUUAUAAACACAUGUAUUUUUUUAAAAAUUUAUGCCAAUUGUAUAAAACAGGAGAGGAAAGGAAGAAUACUCAUUCAUCCAUCCAUCCAUUUAACAAUUACUCAUGGAAGGUACUUACUAUGAGUCAGGUGUAUUUAUGAGAUAAAUCAGAGAGUAUACAUUUAUUUUUCUUAAAACCUGCUUUAUUGAGGUUUUGUAAUUCAAGAAAUGCACCCAUUUUAUGUGUACAGUUUGAUGCAUUUUGACAAUCACAGUCAAGGUAUGGAACCUUUCCAUUACCCCCAGAAAGUUUUUUUUGACUGUUUUGCUGUCAAUUCUCUCCUCCUUUCCAACCCCCAAACCCCAGCCAAACCAAUGCUGUUAUUUUACUUGUGCCUUUCUAGAAAGUCAAAUAAGGGACAUAACUUGUAGUAGAGAAUACAGCUUAAAAAAUAAAUAGGCAUUUGCACUCCCAGCGAGUGAGGCAGAAGCUUUGACAUGGGACACAUAGACUGUGCUGCUGGAACACAUAAGUGGUGUGAGGAGACUUGGAAGCUGAGGUCUGAAGGCCUAAUAACAGUGAAUCAGAAAGAUGGGAAGAACCUAAUCCCAGGCGCUGCCGUGGGGGCUGGAAACGGACACAGCGCUCUGCUGGUGGGCGGCGGAGCUCUUCGAGGGAACACCAUUUUGUCCCCAUUUGAGGCCCAGGGAAGCCAUGAUCUUUUAAGAAACUCAUAGAAAUUCCAACUGAGAGAAAAUUAGUAUGGAAUUCUGUAAGCAAUUUCCUUCCUUUCUUAGAAUUCACAAUCUAAAAUGCAAGAGCCCAGGGCACCUGGCUGGCUCUGCAGGGGGAGACCGCCACUCUUGAUCUCAGGAUGGAGUUCAAGCCCUAUGCUGGCUGAAGCGAUUACUUAAAAAUAAAAUCUGAAAAAAAAAAAGUAAAAGCCCAUUCUUUGGCUGUUCUUCUAGAGGUUUGGUGUGAAUGAGCUGGAGAUCUGUAGCAUGCAGACCAGGCUUGUCCUGGGUUCCUGUCCUUGCCACAGAUGGAAGUGAAUCACAGAUCCCCUGCUCCCAGGUGCGGAUACUGUUUCCUCUCAUCCCAAGAAGAAUUCAGGCAACCUUGAUUUCAUCGGGCAUAUGUCAUUAGCUUAUCAAAGGCUCAAGUGGGAUUACUCUGAAGUGAUCUGUGCUUAAAAACUACCUCACUGGGGCACCUGGGUGGCUCAGUGGGUUAAACCUUCGGCUCAGGUCAUGAUCUCAGGGUCCUGGGAUCGAGCCCCACAUCAUGCUCUCUGCUCGGCAAGGAGCCUGCUUCUCCCUCUCUCUCUCUGCCUGCCUCUCUGCCUACUUGUGACCUCUCUCUCUCUGUCAAAUAAAUAAAUAAAAUCUUUAAAGAAAAACAAAACAAAAACUACCUCACCGGGGCACCUGGGUGGCUCGGUGGGUUAAAGCCUCUGCCUUUGGCUCAGGUCACGAUCCCAGGGUCCUGGGAUCGAGCCCCGCAUCGGGCUCUCUCCUCAGCAGGAAGCCUGCAUCCUCCUCUCUCUCUCUACCUGCCUCUCUGCCUACUUGUGAUCUCUGUCUGUCAAGUAAAUAAAUAAAAUCUUAAAAAAAAAAAAAAAAAAGAUCUACCUCACCCCCAGCCCCCUAACCAAGAGCAUGGAAAGGACCUCUCUGCCACCUGCGUAAAGACCAGGAGUCACCAGCACUCUUGCCUGCCUGCUUGAGAAUGCUUACACAUUUGCUUAUUUGAUUCUUUUUUCUCUGCUCUCCCUUGGACUGACAUGCAUAGCCAGUCCUCAUAGUUGUUUAUCAGUUCUCCAAGCCUAUUUUAAAAGAUUUCUGCUUUCAUUUAAAAUCUAAGUCACAUUCUUCUUGCAUCCGCUGCUGUAUUUCCCGAAGGGGUUGUGUCAAAGGAAAUUCAACACCCACUUUCCUCACGAUCGGCUCCCCGGCUUGCUCACUCAUCAGAAGGCUCAUGCUAUUCGAUACUUCAGAAGAUUAUUUUCCUUGUUAGGUGACGUGUCAAGGGAAGGGGAGCUGGCCCCAGCGUCAGGUGACUGAGUUUUGCUCCCGUUUCUACUGUUGACUCAAUCAAUGUCCUUGGGCAAGUCAUUGAGCCUUUUCAUGCUGCGGUCUCUGGGGAUGAAAUCUGCCAACUGCAUCAUAUGAAUUUGAACCUUAGUGCCCUCUGGGAUAAAAAUAGGAAGGGGCCAGGUGUCCAUGUGGCCCCAAACUGAUGGAAUGAGGAGGACCAUGGGACCUCAAAGCUGUCCUUGAGCUGCAAACUCUGUAACAGGGUCAGGCCUCGGGCCUUGGUCCAGUUGCCUGUGGGGGUCAAUUCUGCCACUUGGAUUUUUCCAAAAAUAAAAGAAGACACUGCAUUAACCACCCAGCCUUGUAUAUUCUAUCUGCUCCAUAUCCCAUAUGCCUUUGUACUUCCCCUGUUGGGAUACUCACCA